rnacentral:rRNA from 1 species
CCUACGGGUGGCUGCAGUGGGGAAUUUUCCGCAAUGGGCGAAAGCCUGACGGAGCGACACCGCGUGGAGGACGAAGUUUUUCGGAAUGUAAACUCCUUUUGGCAGGAAUGAAACAAAUGACAGUACCUGCAGAAUAAGCAUCGGCUAACUACGUGCCAGCAGCCGCGGUAAUACGUAGGAUGCAAGCGUUGUUCGGAAUUACUGGGCGUAAAGAGUACGUAGGCGGCAAUGAAAGUCUGAUAUUAAAGACUGGGGCUUAACCUCAGGAGUGUAUC